rnacentral:lncRNA from 1 species
CACACACACACACACGAGUGAUAAAAAAGGGGACAAAAUGGAGCCUAAUGUAGCUACUGAUUCCUCUCACUGAGUCACCUACCAUGUGAUUGCUGUCUGGAAGGAAACUACAAGAUCAAAAUGAACCAGAAGGUGGAGCCAGUGAAACUACCUAAAAGAAGAGUUCCAGUUGCAGUGAUGAAGCUGUUGAAAGAAGAGCGGAGCAGCUUUCAGCGCAGAAUGAUUAUUACACCUGUGGAGAAAAGCACCGACUGGAUAAGCAGCCUUGUGAUCGUGAAGAAACCAAAUGUCCUCCUGAUUUUUGACCCUUGCCUGUUUCUGGACUCUGUACC